ensembl:lncRNA SNHG17 small nucleolar RNA host gene 17
UUUCCGCCGGCGCGAAACGAGCGUAGCUUCCUUGUCGUGUGGCCUCAGUCCUUCGCCGUCCCUCGCCGUCCUUCGCCAUCGCACGCCACCGCACCCCAUCUCUCGAAAUCUGCAGACAUCUUGAUUUUUCCCACGCUGUCUGUCAGGUCUCCGCCGCCACUCGACGCCAGGGCGCCGGGCCUUGUGGGCUGUGCUGCACCUCGGACGGCUUCGCACCAGCCAGCGCCCUCUCUCUCCUGCAGCACUCUGAUCUGCACCCCCUGAGGGGCUUCCACUGUCCGCGGGGUGAGAAUGCCCCUGGGAGUGUCACAUGACUGCCGCCCCAUGUGUGUGAGAGGCGUCCUCUGGGAGAGCAUGGAUCCUGAGGUCCCAGGAUUGUCAGCUGACCUCUGUCCUGUGUGCCCAGUGGCCCCAGGUGACGUGUCUUCAAGAAGAGGCUGAGCUGCGGUGCUUGUAAGGGUCUCAUUCUGUCACCCAGGCUGGAGUGCAGUGGUGCAAUGAUGGCUCACUGCAGCCUCGACCUGGGCUCAAGUGAUCCUCCACCUCAGCUUCCUGAGUAGCUGGGACCACAGAGUCAUGUGCUGUUCCUGGGGCUUGGAUGAUGUAGGGGAAGCAAGGUGAAAGUGGUAUCCCGUGGUUCCACGUUCUGUCCUGCUGUGGGGCUGUCCCUCACAUGCUUUCAGUGGCUGUUGCAGAGGAAGAGCCUCCGGAAAUCUGCGUGGGUAAAGUGAGCUCCCCGGGGGAACCGUCCUCCUCCCUUGAGCGCUGGUGUGUCCAUAGUGUGCUGUGAUCUGGAUUAGCAGUGAGUUUUUCUUUCAGGGUGUGUGUGUAUGAUGUUAGGACCAUAUGCUCCUGACCUUUUCCAACCCAAAAGCGUUUCCAUUUUUUUAAUGCUGGAAGUGUCUUAACUCCUUUUGGGGUCUUAGAAGGACACACGGUGGCCGUGGCUGGGCCUCUGCUCAGCUGGGCUGCUCUCCCUGCCUCAGGCCCUUGACACCAGCCUCCCUCCCUUGCUGGCUCUCUUUCUGUCCUUCCCUGCUCUUGUAUCCAAAAGUGAUCAUGGGUUGCCUGUGUCCCGAUCAUUAACAGUGCAGGGGUAGGAGUGCUGAAAGACAUCUUCCCUGCGUUGGUCCAGCCUUCCCUUUCAAACCCUGGAGCUUUCCCACGCUGCAGCCUUUUUCCAACUAGGCUUUCAGAGCUUGGGCCUUUGUGGGCCCAUGUGAUGUGGUGACUAGACCCACCCCCUGACUUCUGAGGGUUCAUUUUGUCUUUUCAUGUUAGGGAUCCUCCUGCCAGAAACCAGUCUGCAUUUCUCUCUGGGCCCCACGCUGGAAUGAAUUCAGAUAGCAGUGAAGGGCACACGUGAGAACUGCGAAUCACGGGCUUUGCUUCAUGAAAUGUGAAAUCCACAUUGUUUCCACAGGCACCAUCAGUAAUGUCGAACAAAUGGAGAAAGUUGCAGGUGGGGCUAGGAAAGCUGUAUUCCUGUGGAUUACUCUAGCUGGUCAUUUGCCCCGAUUGUGAACUGCUUGAAAGAAAAACGAAACUUCUAAGAUGUUUGUCCUUUCAUGUCCUUUCUGUUGGGAUUUUUUAUUUGGUGUGCGUGAAUGAGGAGCUUCGCCCUGCUUGAAUGGGACCCCUCUCAGUGGUGUCAGCUUGGGGAGGAGGAGAUGGCCCUGGAGACUAAAUACUUGUAUGCUUUCUUACCCUCUUAGGUCUCAGCCUUAGAUCCAAGGACAGUCCAAGGAAGUCCUAAGACCAUGGAGUUGGUGAUCUGGGAUCUGGGUUUGCUGAUAUUUCUCACCGUGAAUCUCUUGGUGGUGUUUGUGGGCACGAGAGGGGCAGAGAAUGGAGAGUGAGGCUACCACAUGAAGCGUCACCAGAGCUGCUCCCUGCUGCCUGCUCAGAGCACCCCGGAUCCACUGUUCAAUCUGCACAAGAUUCGGGGUCCAGACAUGGGAGACUUCAGCUGCCUCAGAGGACCGUGGACAGGGAAGGCCAGCCUCGCAUCCCUCUGUCCAUGCCUGGAAUGACUUUAAUAACCAAGAGUUUUAUUUUUGAAUUUGUAGCUGUCGUUCACUUUUUACCCACCCAUUCAAUAAACCUUACAGAAUUGCUCC